CCUGCCCAUAAGACUGGGAUAACUCCGGGAAACCGGGGCUAAUACCGGAUAACAUUUUGAACYGCAUGGUUCRAAAUUGAAAGGCGGCUUCGGCUGUCACUUAUGGAUGGACCCGCGUCGCAUUAGCUAGUUGGUGAGGUAACGGCUCACCAAGGCAACGAUGCGUAGCCGACCUGAGAGGGUGAUCGGCCACACUGGGACUGAGACACGGCCCAGACUCCUACGGGAGGCAGCAGUAGGGAAUCUUCCGCAAUGGACGAAAGUCUGACGGAGCAACGCCGCGUGAGUGAUGAAGGCUUUCGGGUCGUAAAACUCUGUU
rnacentral:rRNA from 2 species